rnacentral:rRNA from 1 species
GACGAACGCUGGCGGCGUGCCUAAUACAUGCAAGUCGAGCGGACUAACGGGAGCUUGCUCCCGUUAGUUAGCGGCGGACGGGUGAGUAACACGUGGGCAACCUACCUGUAAGACUGGGAUAACUUCGGGAAACCGGAGCUAAUACCGGAUGACAUAAAGGAACUCCUGUUCCUUUAUUGAAAGAUGGCCUCGGCUAUCACUUACAGAUGGGCCCGCGGCGCAUUAGCUAGUUGGUGAGGUAACGGCUCACCAAGGCGACGAUGCGUAGCCGACCUUAGAGGGUGAACGGCCACACUGGGACCGAGACACGUCCCAGACUCCUACGGGAGGCAGCAGUAGGGAAUCUGCCGCAAUGGACGAAAGUCUGACGGAGCAACGCCGCGUGAGCGAGUAAGGCUUUCGGGUCUUAAAGCUCUGUUGUUAGGGAAAAAUAAGUGCUAGUUGAAUAAUCUGGCACCUUUACGGUACCUAACCAGAAAGCCACGGCUAACUACGUGCCAGCAGCCGCCGUAAAAC